ensembl:lncRNA
GGGAGCCAGGUCCAUGAGAAAUUCUGCUGUCAUUUCCUUUCACAGCCACUGGCAAAUGAGUGUGAAAUCUGGUGAGCUGAAGAGACAGGCAUGGUGGUAGAGAUUUAACAGCAGAGUUAAGUAGAUGAGACAGAAAUAUGCUUCAGGACUCAAGAGACCUGGAAUACGGAAGACAGAGAACAGAGGCCAGUACACCCAGAAACUGGAAUACUUAGGAACUGUACUCUUUUCAACGAGGGAAGGUUGUUUCAUCAGACAUGGAAGAAGACCGUCAACAGAACAGGAUGUCUUUAUGCCACUUCUUGGCUGAUACCACAGCUCUGCCAAGACCACGAGGAGGCUUUUAUCCAGAUGGGCUCAGAAACCAGGAUCAGGGAACCUGAAUUUCCUCACUGCAGUUGGAAAGACCUCCAAAGAAGGAAGUGCAGACUUGGAAAUAAGACUGACAAAGCCUCCUAAAAGUCUGUAGAGACUUCAAGAGGUAAAACCUCUAGGGG